rnacentral:tRNA from 1 species
GGGGAUAUAGCUCAGUGGUGCACCGCCUGCCUGGAAGCAGGAAGCACUGGGUUUGAUUCCCAGUACCCACC